rnacentral:rRNA from 1 species
UCAGGAUAAACGCUGGCGGCGUGCUUAACACAUGCAAGUCGAACGGAGUAUCCUUCGGAAGAUUGAAGAGCUUGCUCGGAGAGAUUCUUGGAAUACUUAGUGGCGGACGGGUGAGUAACGCGUGGGUAACCUGCCUCACACAGGGGGAUAACAGUUGGAAACGACUGUUAAUACCGCAUAAGCGCACAGUAUCGCAUGAUACAGUGUGAAAAACUCCGGUGGUGUGAGAUGGACCCGCGUCUGAUUAGCUGGUUGGUGAGGUAACGGCCCACCAAGGCGACGAUCAGUAGCCGGCCUGAGAGGUGAUCGGCCACAUUGGAACUGAGAUACGGUCCAGACUCCUACGGGAGGCAGCAGUGGGGAAUAUUGGGCAAUGGGCGAAAAGCCUGACCCAGCAACGCCGCGUGAGGGAAGAAGGGUUUCGGCUCGUAAACCUCUGUCCUAUGGGACGAAGGAAGUGACGGUACCAUAGGAGGAAGCCCCGGCUAACUACGUGCCAGCCGCCGC